UACAGAGGGGGCAAGCGUUGUUCGGAAUUACUGGGCGUAAAGGGCGCGUAGGCGGCCCGCUAAGUCGAACGUGAAAUCCCUGGGCUCAACCCAGGAACUGCGUCCGAUACUGGCAGGCUUGAAUCCGGGAGAGGGAUGUGGAAUUCCAGGUGUGGCGGUGAAAUGCGUAGAUAUCUGGAGGAACACCGGUGGCGAAGGCGGCAUCCUGGACCGGUAUUGACGCUGAUGCGCGAAAGCCAGGGGAGCAAACGGG
rnacentral:rRNA from 1 species